rnacentral:misc_RNA from 1 species
AUAAGUUGUAGCACUUUCAACCAGGAUGGGUCGAUAUUUGCAUAUUCAGUGUGCUACGAUUGGAGUAAGGGGGCAGAAAAUCACAACCCAGCAACAGCAAAGACUUACAUUUACUUGCACCUCCCACAGGAGGCUGAGGUUAAAGGCAAGCCUCGUGUUGGGGGCGGCGGAAGAAAGUAGUCCCUGUAAAAUCCCUUUGCAUGUAUCUUUGUUGUUCUCUAAUGUCAAAUUACUAAUAGGUUUAACUAGGCUUCCAAAAAUCUUGAAUAUAUUUCUA